rnacentral:pre_miRNA from 1 species
CUAGGAGUUGAUGGGUCAGAUGGUAAGCCUAGGUUUAAAUUUUUGAGGUACUACCAAACUAUUUUUCAAUUUAGCUGUAUCAUUUUACAUUCCAACCAGCAGU